GGGUUGUGAGGUUAAGCGACUAAGCGUACACGGUGGAUGCCCUGGCAGUCAGAGGCGAUGAAGGACGUGCUAAUCUGCGAUAAGCGUCGGUAAGGUGAUAUGAACCGUUAUAACCGGCGAUUUCCGAAUGGGGAAACCCAGUGUGAUUCGUCACACUAUCAUUAACUGAAUCCAUAGGUUAAUGAGGCGAACCGGGGGAACUGAAACAUCUAAGUACCCCGAGGAAAAGAAAUCAACCGAGAUUCCCCCAGUAGCGGC
rnacentral:rRNA from 1 species